rnacentral:misc_RNA from 1 species
UAAGGGCUGCUAAUAUUUAAUGCUCUUGUACGUGUCUGGAUUGAGACGGACAAGGAGAUUUCUUGUAAGGGAUAAGGUCUUUGUGACAGUCUCUUCAGGAUCUAACCCAACGACUUAAGCAGCAUAUGGUUCAUUUCAUGUUUGGGUGAUAAGUGUGUAAUAAUGUAGAUAAUGCUGUGUGAACACUGCACCAGGAUAUGAUAAUUUUUCAUAUUUAGGAAUAUUCUGUGUUGGAAAAGUUCCAAGUUUAUUGAAGUUUAUGCAGAAAAUGAACCCUACCAUGGAGCAAAUACAGCUAACAGAACAGAUUGCUAUGGUACAGGACAUGGUGCAGGAGAUGAAGCUGAGUUUUACCUCGGCUAUGGAGGAGCUGGCCAAGACACAGUACGGAGACGAUUCUCUACACCAGCAACUGUCAGCCGACCGGGAGAGCAACCUACGACAAAUCACCGAGCUCACCGACCUCGUCAAAAGUCUCAAGUCUGAGGUAGACUCCAUUAAAACUGAGCUGAAAGGAGUUGUGGCUACACAGAAAACUUUGGAGGAAAAAUUUAAGUCUGAAAAGCCCCGACUGGUGGACUCUCCUGCUCCAGACUCGUCCAGGAAAGAUGUGGCCCCAAUGGUGCAGCCUUAUCUUGCUAGUCUUCAUCAGCAGAAAGCUGCUGAUGACUGUGACACACACUCGGUGACGGCCCUUGCAUGUAAGAGUCUGAACCUGUCCCAGGCCUUACACGAGAAGUGUCUCCAUCUGGAGCUCUCGUCAAGUGAUGAGGAUGAUACUCUCAGAAAUCUACAGGGCUCUGGAUUUUUCAUGGACAAAGAUGGCAGUUAUUACCUUGAUGAUAAACAUGUUCAUCCAAGAAAAUUACCUCUCCAUGAAAGGGUGGUGGAAGAAGUGCAAAGGGAAAAGGCUGCCCAAGAGAUUGUUGAGGCUGAGAGGUCCUACUGUUCCCAGCUCUGGACAUUAAUUGAUGCGUACAUGAACCCACUGAGGCAUGCAGACAUCAUGACAACCAGAGAGUUGUCUGCCCUCUUCCCCACCUACAUCCCUCAGAUGUACGAGCAGCACUGUCUGCAGCUUCACAAGAUGGAGGAGAGACUGAUGAAGUGGAAGAUCUCGGGCAUGUUGGGAGACGUGUUUGUCAAAAUGCUGGAGAAACAAGAUGGAGAGGGACUUGCCCUGUACAAAGAAUACAUCAAUGACUUUCCAUCCAUCAUCAAUAACAUGAACCAGUGGUUUUCUCAAUCGCCUCAUUUCAAGUCCCUCAUGGGGAGUUCAAAUUUAGCUUCAUCAAAUGUCAUACCUCUGCUUUUGGAGCCAUUACAACAGAUACCUAAAUACUCACUUUUGCUGAAGAAUCUGUUGAAGCACACAGCAAUGGAUCACCCUGACAGACAGUACCUGGAGGCGGCCCUCUACAGCCUCAAGAGUUUCCUCUACAUCAUGAACAAUGACAUUGAACACGCCUCGCAGUUCCUCAACGUCUCGCGGUCACGAGAGAGUGGGAAUUCAAUGCGUUCUCGUUCUAGUGGGAGUAGUGCUGAGGCCAAUCAGGUGUCCAGUGCCAGGGACAGUGGAAUCCAGGAGGAUGAAACGCGUCACCCCGCCUCACCCAACACUGCAAAGAGAUACGUGCUGCAGGUGUUGAGGGAGCGGAGAGAGAGGGAGGAUCAGGGGUACAGGGACCGCCCUGUCACCGUCCCUUCUCGACAUCAUCAUGCAUUUGGAAGUCAUCCAGAUUUAUCUGCACAGGAGUAUGUGGACCUCAUGAACACUAGCAAAGAGAGCAGUGUCUACUUACCCUAUCAGUCUGGCCACAAGAUGUAUUCUUCCCUGUCCAAAAUACCAGCCAACAAGGUGCCAGAAAUCCGUAGUCCCGAAAAACCUCCAAGGCGAAUCAAAAUACGGAGGCGACCUGACAAUCCAAAGAGUGCAAUCAAUUCAAAUUAUCUUCGCCCACUCACACCUCAUUUUCCAUUUUCAAGUACUCCGACAACUCACACAACUUUUGAUGAACAGGAGAAUUUGAGACCUCCUCCUUCUAGCAGAAGAGGACGGACCAGACCAGCAAGUUCCAUUGAUUUCACCAACAGAGGAAAUGAGAGAAGAGACCAGAUGCUGGAGGAUUGGUCAUUCCAUGGUUCAAGCCUCAAUUCACCCAGAGAUCAUCCAGGUGAGGGGAGGGCGAGGAAUGAGCUGCAUCUGUCUCUUCAGAGAUUGUUGGCUGAGCGAGAAAGGGAGGGCAGUCAUAGACAGGAGGACAGAGACCAGUACUUCCAGCCCGUCACCACUUCCUCAGAACCUGUAGGACCUGCUGAAGACAGAUUUGGCCCCGCAUCUUACAAUGGAUACCAGGCAGGUAGACCUGCAUUCCAGAGGAAAAUUGUGGAGGACUAUGGGAUAUAUGGUGAUGAAGAUGAAGAGGAGGAUUUUGGAAAAGAUGAAAAUUUAUCUGGUUCUUUUCACUCUCAGAAUACUAGUAGCCCAAUGAAAGUUCGAAAUGAGAAUCCAUACGAGAACUUUCACCAAAGGAGAACGUUACCAGAGGUAAGAAGUGUGAAACAAGAGGUUCCUCAAGGUCACAGAGAAAAGCCUCUUCCUAGUCCACGGAGAAAUGAAUCUCAAAAAUUCAGAAUGUCAGACUCCUCUACUAAGUUACCUGUGGAGAGAAAAACCUCUAAUGAUGCUAGUGGCAGUAAACAGCUGAAACCUGAACACUUGGUGCCAGCUCCUGCUGAAAAUUCAAAUGGAGCUUUGAAUAAGCGGAGGGAUAUGCAAGCAUUUGAAAUGGAGCCUAUUGAGUAUUCAGAAAGUAAUAAGAGGAACUCUUAUGUGCAGGCUGAGAAACCAUCAGAAGACGAUAGCUCAUACAGGAAGGAAAGUCAUAAGAACUCACCAGAUAUCAAUAAAAAUGACUUGAAGCUUGAUGUAAAGGCUGCUGAGAUUUUAACCAUGAGGUCCACCUCUCAAAAUACUGAAUCCCCUUCACGUCCUUCAUCGGACCCUGUCACUACAACGGGUGGUCCAGUUCUCCGGAAUUCCAACAAAACUGCCAAAAAGCUCCCUGUUCCGAGCGGGAGAUUGAGCUAUCCAAAUCUAGACCAGAUGUCUUCUGCCUCCAAAAUCCCAUCUCCACCUGUUACACCUACUGAUGGAAAAAAUCUGAAAGCUUUAGCCAGGGACACUAAAAUCCCCAUGUACAUGCCCAAAAGGAAGGACAAAGGGGGCAAAGGAUCCAUGGAGAACAUCUCAAAAUCUACCGAAGAUGUGUCCAAAGUCAAGAAAAAGACCAAGUUUGGUUCCAUUAAGAGUUUUUUCGGACGUAAAAGGCCGGGCAUGGAUGAAAUGGAGACAGUGGAUGUGGUAGAAAAUAUUUAAAGACUUCUCAUCAGCCCAGGAUCUAAGGGAAUCGGAAUCAAUUGAUGUUGAUAACAAAAGUGACAUCCUGUCAACUGAAUGCUGGGUAGAGGACGAUAUUGGAAUCCACAAUAAAACAACGAAAGACUGAAAUUGAAACUAUUAUUUCAAAGUUUCUGACCUCAGUAGAAGGGUCAAGUUUGAACAAUCUCUUCUCAAAGUUUAGAAGUGGUUGAAAAGCAAAUGCAUGUUUAUAAAAAAGUGCUAAAUAAUUAAACAAGCAAAGAAUUUGUACAUGACCAUAUCAUAAACUGGUCUGUUCACUUUCAUUUUUCGCAAGGACCAGUGAUGAUUUGAAAUACUCUUAAAGAGAAUUUCCAAGAGAGAACAUGUACCAUGAAUGAAAUAUAGUGUGACAAUACAUGUAUUGGUAUUCCACUAUUGUUAGUUUGAUGAUGAUUCCAAUUAUUCAGUGUACCCAGGUAUAUUGUACAUGUACUUUCAAUAUAUUGAUCUGUACAUAUCACAAAACCUGCUGAAAACUAGAGCACAAAAGUACAUGUUUUGUCAUGUGCUACAUAUUUUACAAAGAUUAUUUCUGCCAGAAAAAGUUAACAGAGGAAAACAUUUUUUUUAGACCAAUUUCCUAUUGUUCAUUCAAGAAAUAUUAAUUAUCAUUUUUUCCUCAAAUUAGUUACAAUGCCAAACAUGUACAGAGAUUUUUUAAAUGUUGGUUUUGCACAGAAAGAAAACAUUUGAUAUUACAUGUAUUUCUGAAUGGAGAAUGUGAAUUAGCUUUAAUGGCUAUAUUAUAAAGAAUUGAAUAACAGAGAACUUUGUAACAGAUCCAUACGAAGUACAUUUGACAGUCUUCCAGUUUACAGUUUUCUGUACAGAAUCAGAAAUAUAUUUUAAUUGCAUUGUAUUUUAUAUACAUGUACUUAACAAUCAAGAUAUUUGAUUAAAUAUUUAUUGAAACC